rnacentral:lncRNA from 1 species
AAAAAAAUUUCUUCUCAGAGAAACUUUUUGCUCUUAAGGUGUUCUUAUUAGAUGAGACCCGCUCACUUUCAGAGAGUAAUCUCUUUUCAGGUCAACUCAGUACGGAUGUUAAUCACAUCUACAAACUACCUUCACAGCACAUCCAGGUUAGUGUUUUAGUAAACAACUGGGGAUCAGGGCCUAGUCUGGUGGACACAUACAUUUGAACCAUCAAAGGGUCAUUGGCUGAGGGCUCUCCAACAUCCCCCCUUGUUGUACCAACUGCCUGGAAUGUCCUUCCCUGAGAUACUUACAUGGCUGAUUCUUUCAGUCAUUUCCAUUUCAGCUCGAGUCAUCUUCACAGGGGCUUCCGUGACCAUCUACUCUUAUCCAGCUCCCUUUCCACCUCCCUUCUAUCACCAUACUCCGUCUCAUUUUCUUCGUGGACAUUUUAUAUUAAUAGUGGAGUUUUUGCUUGUUUUCCCCUAUUGUUUCUCUGUCCCACCAGAAUGUAUGGUCUAUUACAGCAGGUCCCUGACUAUCUCAUUUACCAUUUGCUCAUGUCCAAAACAGUGCUGGCAUAGAGCGGACAUUGAGUCAAUAGCCAUACAACUGAUCGAUAGAGCCAAUGAGGCACAUAACUCAUUCUAAUGUUAAAUAAUAGCUAACUUAUAAGAAACUUAUGAACGUGUUGUGACUUAUACUAAGCUGAAAUCGCCUCUGCAUGAAAAGCCAUCCAUUUGUCCUAGAUAUAUCUUUUGGACCACCCAAAAUAAUUCUUGCCUCAUUCUAUAUCUUUUUUUUUUAGAUUUUAUUUAUUUAUUCAUGAGAGACAGAGAGAGAGAGAGAGAGAGAGAGAGAGAGGCAGAGACACAGGCAGAAGGAGACCUCAUUCUAUAUCUUUAAGCAUUUGGACACAGUAUUUUUGGCUCCUAUUAAUCAUUUCCUAUCCAGGCUAAAUGCCUUCAAUACCUCCUACAUCAUGGUUUCCAGAGUCUACCCUAAUUUGUUCUUAUCCAGAUUAAAGAUCGCUCUCCUAAGGCAAGCCUGCCAGAGUGGAACACUUUAUUCUGGGCAUGUUGUAAGCAGAACAAGUAGCAAGACUGCCACUUCUGAGACCUGAACAUUAUAACUCUACUAGUUUGACCUAAUGGAUCACUACCAUUUCUAGGAGUCGUAUCACACUUCUAAAUACACAGAAACGUGAAUCUUUAUAGUGGCUAGAAAUUUAAGAAAUCCUUGUCGGUACUGAACACAAUACAUUGCGGAAUUUUAAAACAUAUGUAUCUAUCUCAAGAAGUUUAUAAUCCAAAAAGAAAAAAACUUUACUUAUAAGCAGAAUUUUCAGAGCAGGAAGAAAGUUUCAAGGACAUCUAGUCUCACCCUCUCUGUUGAUGGAAAAGGCAAUGGGGCCCCAGAGUAGCCAGUGAUGAAAUGAUAAUGAGCAAGACAGAACAGAAUGUAAUUGAGUGAUCAAUCAUGUAGUGGAGACAAUAAGAGCAGUAGCAGAAAAUCAGAGUGGCAAGAAAAUCAGUGGCACUUUGAGUUGCUGGUAAGAAGCUCAAAGAAGAAGGAAACCUGGGCCUUGGAGUGUGGAGAAAAUUUGACAGAUGGAGGACAGAGAGAGCCUUUGGGAAAAGUGAGCCCCUGCGAGGUCAUAAAACAGGACAGAGCACGGCAUGUUCCUGAGACAAACUCACAAGAAUAGAUAGUAUUUAUAUAAAAUAUCAAUAUGUUAUAAAAUGUAUAAUUAAUUAAAUUAUAAAAGUAGACUUUGUAAGUCUAAAAUUAAAGUUUUGCAGAAAGCCUGCAGACUAAGGAGAUCCCUUAGCAGACACUAGAUAAUGUGAACCAAAUUUUAUGAAGAAGUCUAAUGUAAGCAUCAAGAAGAUGCUGUGAAUAGUAAUAACUAAUCACACAUAAGAAAUGCUUAUGUCACUGUGCUAUUUAUAUGAUAUUUUUUUCUAAUGCCCUAAGAGUACUAGAGGCUAGUGAUAGUCCAGUGAACAUGGUAGAAAAAAAAUAACAGUGUUAAUUAAUCAGAAGAAACUGAUUCACAGAAAAGAAUUUGGGUUCUCUAAGUUUUCUUCUGACUUUAUGCUCUACAUUUGUCAUAGCACAAUCUAAAAAAAAGAGAGAGGAGACGAGGAAAGAAGGAGGGGGAAGGGAAGGAAGGGAUGAAGGAAGGAACCACAGAUGGAAGGAGGGAAAGAAAGGAUUAAAAUCUUGUAUUUCUAGAGAGGGUGGUUGCACAACACUAUGAGUGUAUUAAAUGCCACUGAAUUAUUCACUUUAAAAUGGCUAAUUUAUAUUAUAUAAAUAUCACCUCAAUUAUUUAAAA